GAUCAAAUGUGCUAAAACUUCGAUUCAAACUAUUCAAAUACAGCCUAUUCAUCUGAAGUUAAAAAUGUAGAUUUUUCCAAUAAAUUAUGAUUGGUCUCUUUUAUUUGAAUUUCACAGUUAUGGGAGUUAAAAAAAAACUCCCAUUACUUCAAAAUUUGACCCUUGUUAAAUCUGUUCCUUAAAGUUAAAAAACCUGCUGUCAUUUUUGACUAUGCACUUCUCUCUAUAAACCACAACAAGUAAUGCCCAGACAUGCCCCAAUCUACAUAAUAGUCAAGCCAACUUCUUGUAAACCAUGCUCCUUUUUAGUCUGCAAUUCAGGACUGCUCUGCAGGUUCUCUCAUGAAUCUUCAUUCAAUGCAGCCAUUUCUGGAUGUAGAAGGGAUAGUCAUAGCAUAGCCUGGCCAUUUCACACUAUCAUUUGUCUGGCUCCAUUCAAGUUCAAAGAUCAGUGGCAAUUAAGCAUAGAUUUCUUGGAGGGAGAAUCAGCAAAGUAUUCCUUUGAGGCACCAGUGAGGACUGUUUUUUAUGACUCAGGAGCAUGGAAUAAUUUUGAUACUUUUUACAUAAGCUUAGAAUUGAGCUGAAAGUCUAAAUUUUGGAAGGUGUAGAAGGUUUCAAAUUUGGGUUGGCACAUCUGCUGUCCUGGCCUGACAAGGAGAAUUUGUGGGCAGAUGGAGAUCGAUGACAACUACCACCCUACUGAAAACUACCCCAGGUCUGUACAAGUUUUACUGAAGUGGAGAGCCAGCCUCGGGUAUGAGGAGGUGAGUGUAGCAUUCAGAGAGGAUCGGACUAACAUGAACUAGCAAGAUAUAUAACAAAUUAAAGGACCAGGGAGUCAACAGUCUGCUACUAUCAAGAUCCUUGCCUGUCUGACUAUCCUGAACACUGCCAAUGCUGACCCUUGCCUGACUGAAUAUUCUGAACUCUUCCAGUCCUUAUCCCUGCCUGCCUGACUAUUCUGAACUCUACCGAUAUUGACCCUUGCCUGCCUGACUAUUCUUUGAACGCUGCCUGUACCGACCCCGGCCAGAUUGACCUUGCUUAAACUCCACCUGUACCAACUUGGCCUGCUGACUACGCUUUACGUCUACUCACUGAACUGUUGCUUUCCAUCCAAAACCUAGAAAAUUCACGUGCACCUUUGUUCGUUCAGAACACUUGCUUUGCUCCUCUCAAGUUAAGACCUGGCAACAUCUGAGUAACUGAGGGCUCCUCCAGAUGCCAAAGGCGGCUGCUACAGGCAGAAGAUUGAGCCGUGGCCAGGUAACUUAGCACUUGUUCUGAAUUUAGGGAGCCUACGUGACAUCUGGUAUGAAAUGCAUGAGUUCUGCUUGAAAGUGAACCUUAUGCUGGCACGUGCAACUUGAGCAUACUAUGUAAAUGUCAUGCAAGUAAGUAGCUCAAAGACAUCCUUAAAAAUGUACAAAAUGUCUUUUUUGUACAACACAUGUAGAAAACAAAUGAUAUGACUAAAGAAAAACACUUGAAAAACUUGGGCUUUACAGUACUUUACAGUGCAGUUCUAUGUAUAUAUUAUUUUUAUUUGCUUAGAUUAAUGGAAGUGAAAGUAUGGCUCAACAGUAAACAAUCAGCACAAUGGUUUUCCAUAUUAUAGGCACACACAUAUUAACGCACACAUAAUUUCGCACACAAGAAUAAUUGGAUUACUCAUUUUGAAAUAUCAUUAAUCUGGAAAGCACUAAAUUGCUCUUUUUCAAACUCCAUUAAUAUGGUACUGCGUUACAAAUAUACAUCAUGACUGCUGAAUUUAGAAGUGUUGAAAUUAUUCUUGCUUAUCUCAGUAGCAACUGCCCAUGUUGAUUCUCCUAAAAACAAGAUAGACUCAAAUGAAUACCCACAUAUAGGCCCAUUUGCUAAGUAGCAUUUGUUCAGUUAACAAAACCAUCAAUUCGUUUCAAUUGGUCAGUUGUCUAAAACAAAAGCAAAGAUCAUAUUGGGGCUGUUGGUUAGAACACUGGUGCAGUUUUUCAGCUGUUUUAGAAGUUGAGCUCCAUGUUGUUUAUCUCUUGCUUAUUUCGUGUACACCCACAUAAAUCAGGAGAGAUGAUAAAAACAUAAUUCAUUAUAUUUGGGUACCUUUGAAAUAUGCAAAUAAUUUAACAGUUAUAGUGGAGCAUAGGCACUAGAAAAUACAGCAACACAAGUUUCAUUACUGUAUGCCUAAAUAAAUGUUUGCAAAACAGAUAUGUCAGGUUGUACAUUUAUCUUGUAAACAAAGAUAAAUGAUGCCGUGUUCUUCCCAGAACAAUUUGCCUCCCCUAAAAAUAAUAGUCAAAGUGAAACUGUUUUCUGCAGACAGUUUCUCUUUGUUAAAUAUUGCAACAUUAUAGUUUUGUAAAUACAUUAAAACAACAGUUUACAUUACUAUCCGAGAACCAAAUGAAUAGAAAUAGUUUCUACUAUACAGCAUCUGUUCUUGUGCUUGAGAAAAACAAUUGCAACAUGCCCACAAUCUGUUGCACCUGUGACACUGGGGAAAUUAGUAAUAGCGGCAAAGUAUUUUGAGCAAAUGCCUUCAAGGUAGAACUGAUCAAUGGGCAUUCUGGACAAAAAAUCCUUCGAAACCUAAAUUAAAGAUUUUCAUUUUGCGCUUCAAGGGUUCCAAAAUGUAACCUGAGAUUAUUGAUUCCGUAUAUAUUUUUUAAUAUGUAUGAAUUAUAUUAGAUGGGUUAAAAUUAAUUUCUUUGAU